rnacentral:lncRNA from 1 species
AUGCUGGGACACCAAGCCAGCUCCUUUUCCUAUCUCAUUUCACCAGAUUACCUGGAUCUGAGGACUUUCCCACAGACUGCACAUCCUGGGACCCUGGUCCUCCAAACCCCAGCCCUGGUGAUACCUCCCAGAGCAUCUCCACUAGCUCACAGGAUCGGCUGCUGGACCGUUAUCCGUGCUCCCUCAGAGUUGGCCGAGCGAGAAGGAAACCUUUCGCUGUCUGGGUCGGGAAGGGGAGGUCACGCCGAGGACAGAGCACCGCGGCACUGGGGGUCCGGAGAUGAGGCACCGAUGGCAGAAGGUACAGGGAUCACCACCACCCCGCUCUCUUGAAGUCCUGACACGCACAAUUUGAUGACAGAAGCAUGAAAUGCCUGCCGACGUGCCUGCUGGAAAAGCGCUCACCCUCUGCAGAGCGUGCAGCCGGGAGAAAGCAUGGGAUGAGGAGGGGAAGAAGAGCCCCAGGCAUCAUCACCCCAGUGAAUCCGCACGAAGAUGGGCCUCUCUGAGGCUCCUCGAGGCCAGCCUCAGUCCCCAGCUUCCUCUGGCUGUAAGCGCAGCCCAGCACCACCAACCCAUCACAAAGACACCAGGUGGAGGGACGGUUGGGUGUCUUCAACACUUAAUACAGCAAAUGACCAAUGCUGGUGCCCCGUGCCUCAGUUUCCCUGUCUGAAAGGGGAAGCUCUGCACCCCCUGCUGAACUGCAGCUCGAGAUGCUGAGAGCCAGAGGCUCCCGCGUGCAUACAGCACCACGCGCCGCGCAGCCGCCCGUUCCACACCGCGUCCGUCUGUCUGUCCCAGCAGAUCCCAGCCGGCAGCGGGACUCACACCUAAGUGGGAGCGACAGCAGCGAGAAAAUACAGCUCUGCCCAGGCUCCCCGCCGAGCCCCCGGGG